rnacentral:rRNA from 1 species
GAUGAACGCUGGCGGCGUGCUUAACACAUGCAAGUCGAACGGAAAGGCCCAAGCUUGCUUGGGUACUCGAGUGGCGAACGGGUGAGUAACACGUGGGUGAUCUGCCCUGCACUUCGGGAUAAGCCUGGGAAACUGGGUCUAAUACCGGAUAGGACGAUGUUUUGGAUGCCAUUGUGGAAAGUUUUUUCGGUGUGGGAUGAGCUCGCGGCCUAUCAGCUUGUUGGUGGGGUAAUGGCCUACCAAGGCGUCGACGGGUAGCCGGCGUGAGAGGGUGUACGGCGACAUUGGGAGUGAGAUACGGCGCAGACUCCUACGGGGGGCAGCAGUGGGGAAUAUUGCACAAUGGGGGCAGGCCUGAUGCAGCGACGCGGCGUGGGGGAUGACGGCCUUCGGGUUGUAAACUCCUUUCGCUAGGGACGAAGCGUUUUUGUGACGGUACCGGGAGAAGAAGCACCGGCUAACUACGUG